AAACUAGUUGCAAUAUAUUAAUUCUUUUUAUUAUGCAUCCGAUUAAGAAUAAAAGUUCUUUUGUCUUUUAUUUCAUUACAAUUUCUAAUACAAUAAAAUUGGCAAAGCGUUUGCAAAGUAGGCUCAAAUACAUGUGGAUUUACGUGGGAGGAAUAUUGUAACAUCCAUUAUUAUGUGUCUGAGUCUGCGCUAAGUAUAGAUAUAUCGAGUUUUUUCACACAGUGUUGUUUACAAAGCGAAAGAAGGACGUCAUAUUAGAAUCAUAGAUAAUGUAUGGCAGGUUAUUUUCACAGGUGUAUUAAAGGAAUUUCAUGAAUUUUCAUUAAAUACGGUAUACAAAAUAUUUUGGUGGUUAUUAUUUUUGGCAAUUCAAAACAUUUAUUCAAUUCCAUUACAUGUGCAAAGUAAAAUUUUUAUGGAAUUUAUUUCGGCGAUUUGAUUCUAUCUGCAAAAAUUUACACUCCCCAAAAGUAACCUGCUAUACAGUAAUAAAAUGGUUUUAGAAAAGGCAUACAAUUUAAAACAAUGUUGUGGUUUAACAUCAAUAAGACCGAAUAAUAAAACCAUAAACAUUAUGAGAUCUGCAUACAGUUUGUUUUUUUUUAUUUUUCAUUAUCUCAUGUUUCUGUAUUGGCUUAUUUCCUAGGUAAUGACUUCACCACAAUGGGACGUCUUAAUGUGAUACAUGUAACUGUUUGACAAUAUAUGGUUCUUUGUGUAUCAAAUGUCAUAUGGACAGAAACAAAAUAUAAUCUAAUACAUCUUGAUUGCUUUAUUUAUAUACCGGUACAUAUAUCAUAACUUUAAAAUCUUUGAUCUGCAACAAUUUAUUUUCCUGUUGGGAUACUUUUUUAGAUUGUCAAUUAAUAUCACAAAUAAGCAAAUUUCAGCUAUUAAAAGGAACAAAGCACAUUUUUUAUUUAUAUUGAUGAAAAAUUUAAAAAUACUUACUGACCUAAACAUGAAAAUAUACAAUUAACAUCAUAUAAAACUGAACACAUAUAAUUUUUUUUUUAUAAUAUUAAAAUAUUUUCAUGAUAAAUAAUUGAAAAUUCAGUAUUUUACAGAAAUGCAAUAUAAUAAAGUGUGAUUGAUUAUAUAAAUGAUACCUGCACAUGCUACAGUAGAAUAUUACAAUUAAAAAUUGAAAUGUGAUCAUUAAUGAAAAAUAAAUAAAAGAAAACAACACUUUAUCAAUUAGAUGCCUCUGAAACACCUUUAUGGAUUUACCUUCAUGAGGAACACUCAAAUGUAAUGUACAUACAAACCAAUACAUUUAAUAUUGAAAUAUGGGAAAAACUCAUAACGAUAAGAUCUAUAAUAAGAACCAAAAAAAUUACAAGGAACGUCACAGAAAUUGCAUGUACAAUUCAUAUGUACACAAUUAUGCUAUAUACAAUUCAAAUACAAAUUUAAAAUUGAACAAUAAACAAUCUACUGUUAUAAAAUCCUAAAAUACAGUUUAAUAUGAUGCUCUCUAUACAAUGAAGAUUAAUAAAAUAACAAGUAUCAAGAUUUUGGUUUUAAAAUAAAGAACAGCAUAAAAGCAAUGUUCCUUUGCUUUGGAUGUUUAUGAUUGUGAAUGUAGAAAUUAUUGCUACAUUAUACAAACAUGCAUACAUAUGAUGAGUUUUAAACCUUAUAUAAAAGAAAAUUAUUAUUAGAAAAACAUAUUUAAAAUGUUAAAUGUUUUGCACAUGUCAUGUCCAUUGAAUCAGAUAUACUUAGGUUCAAAAAAUUAUUGUGAUUUUUGAGCAAUGUAUAAAAAUAUGAUAUAGUUAUUACAAAUUCUGAAAUG
rnacentral:lncRNA from 1 species